CGGGUGUCACGUCGAGGAAAGAGAGAGAGAUAGAGAGGUACUACGGGUGUCAUUUUUAUUUGUUCUUUUUUAUUGCUUAGAUGGGGGACGAGCUCA